CGUGCUCUUUAUUCUUGCAAUCAGUGGCAACUAAUUGGGAGCUGGAUUUGUUGGGCUCUGUGUCCAAAUAUAUUCUCUGCUGCAUAAAAAGGGCACAGCAAAAGGCUUCUUGUUCCCAUUUUAAAGCUGGGGAACCAAGGGAAAGUUCCACUUGGAAGAGCUGCACCAGAGGCAGAAAAUUGAUGAAACCUGUGCUGGCACAGGUAUGACCCAGCCAACAAUGCUCCUUUCUGAACAGUCACCCCAGGAUUUUUCUGAAGCAAUGAAGAGUUCACAAGAUUUUGGGGGCACCCUUAGAAGGCAAUGCCAAAUGCUGAAGGUGACAAAACCACGGCCAAGCCCUUAGAGUUUGUAAAAGAGCCACACUAACAAGCAAAAAUCAUAGAAUGGAAUCCACUCCAACACAUCUCCUCCCUGUCAGCCUGAAAACAGAGAUAAUAAAGGAUGUUUAACUCA